CGCAUCUGUGCAUGCAGCAUAUCAAUAAGCGGAGGAAAAGAAACUAACAAGGAUUCCCCUAGUAACGGCGAGUGAAGCGGGAAGAGCUCAAAUUUGAAAUCUUAAAGGGUUUCCCUUUACGAAUUGUAGUUUAAAGAAGUGUUUUCUGUUGAGGUUUUGGUAAAAGUUCUUUGGAAUAGGACAUCAUAGAGGGUGAGAAUCCCGUAUUUGACCUUUACUUUCAACUUUGUGAUACACUUUCAAAGAGUCGGAUUGUUUGGGAAUGCAGUCCAAAAUGGGUGGUAAAUUUCAUCUAAAGCUAAAUAUUGGCGAGAGACCGAUAGCGAACAAGUACCGUGAGGGAAAGAUGAAAAGAACUUUGAAAAGAGAGUUAAACAGUACGUGAAAUUGUCAAAAGGGAAGCGUUUGACACCAGUGUUGUUUUUCUGAAAAUCAAUUAAAGAACUGUUUAUGCUAAGCUGUUUAGACUUUAUCCGCUAACUGUUUAGUUUUGAGCUUUUCUUUAAUGCACUUUUCAGUUAACAAGUCAACAUCAAUUUCUUUUGCUGUAAAAAAGCUUGAGGAAGGUGGCUUGAGAUUCGUCUUAAGUGUUUAUAGCCUCUUGCCUAUGCAGUCGGAGAGAUUGAGGUCUGCAGCGUAGAUCCUUCGGGGCUAAAUGCAUUUGUGCUAAGUUAUAGCAUUUUAUAGACAACUUGUUGACUAUGAUUUGUCUUGUAGCUUACUCGCUUAUGUUAUUUUACCUACGCUUAGGAUGUUGAGCGCAUGUCUCUCUC
rnacentral:rRNA from 1 species